GAGUUUGAUCAUGCUCAGGAUGAACGCUGGCGGCGUGCCUAAUACAUGCAAGUCGAGCGAACGGACGAGAAGCUUGCUUCUCUGAUGUUAGCGGCGGACGGGUGAGUAACACGUGGAUAACCUACCUAUAAGACUGGGAUAACUUCGGGAAACCGGAGCUAAUACCGGAUAAUAUUUUGAACCGCAUGGUUCAAAAGUGAAAGACGGUCUUGCUGUCACUUAUAGAUGGAUCCGCGCUGCAUUAGCUAGUUGGUAAGGUAACGGCUUACCAAGGCAACGAUGCAUAGCCGACCUGAGAGGGUGAUCGGCCACACUGGAACUGAGACACGGUCCAGACUCCUACGGGAGGCAGCAGUAGGGAAUCUUCCGCAAUGGGCGAAAGCCUGACGGAGCAACGCCGCGUGAGUGAUGAAGGUCUUCGGAUCGUAAAACUCUGUUAUUAGGGAAGAACAUAUGUGUAAGUAACUGUGCACAUCUUGACGGUACCUAAUCAGAAAGCCACGGCUAACUA
rnacentral:rRNA from 1 species